rnacentral:lncRNA from 1 species
UUUAAUUUUAUUUUUUCUUAUAUCAAUUCAUUUUCACCUUCCAAUGAAAUCAGAUAGCAAUAUCAGGGCAUGAACAGAUCUAAAGAACACAAACCACAAGCAUAGACUCGGAGAAGACCAGGCACGACCACUGUGACGUCACUUCCCUUAAUAAUUAUAUCCUUACACUAUACACGUUUCACAACUAUAAUUUGAACACCUGCUUGCCAUAAAUAAAUAUAUGUUUACACUAUACACAAGUGAAUCAUGUUGUGUCAUUUACAUGACGGGUAAAUUAAAUGAACAUGUCUUGAUUAGGUACGACAUACGUUGGACAAGGAAGAGACCUGCAGAUAAAUAACACAAUUAAACAAACAAGUACUGAAAUAUAAGUGUUCCGCAUUAAGCUUGCUAGUAAGGAAAAUAUCAGGAGAUGGCUUGCUAGCUUUCACUUCUAAAUCACCCCCAUGGCAACUUGAUACAUCAGAGCAAGAAAACAUUCCCCAAUGGUUACAAACCUUCGGUGUAAAAUGACAUUCAUGGGAUCUGAAGACAUCACUAAGAAAUAUCAGGUUCUAUAUGAGUCUGACUUAUUAAAGAACAGAGGGCAAUGACGAAAAGUGUACUACAUUAAAUCAAGGCCAAAUGAUACAUUGCAUGCAUCAGCGAGCAGAAAAAUAAAUGGUGUCUAAUAUUAUAUUUUCCCCUUCCAAUAGAGAGACUCCUUCUAUAUGUUUAACCAGUGAUUAAUUCCGGUUACACCAAAUAAACAUAGUUCUAAAUGAUACCAACAUUUUUUAUGAAACAAAGGACAACCAAACUAACUCCCCUCGCGUGGAAACUUCAUGUCCUUUCAACUCUGAAAUUCCACCAAAGGUAAGCAUACAAUAAUUUUAUAGUGUAUAAUUAUACAAAAGAAGAACAUGUUACGUGUGUAGAUAGCGCAAGGUAGCAUAUUAUCAUUGAGAGCAUAUAUUAGCACAUAGUAUGAUGAAAAUUGGAACCGGAUGUACUGUCAGCAUGUCUUUCUCCUUAUUCUGUAUAUCAUCAUUUCCUCUACACUUGACAUGAUAGCUUGAGAAAAAAAGAUGAGUAUCCAGAUAUGUACAUAGUUAUGGCUAGAUUCCUUGUUUUGUCCAAGAAAGAUAAGUCAUGAGCCCAUCAUCUUAUUACAGCAAGGCACAUCUCUACCAGUGGUGCAAGAGGUGUAAAUUUUAUAUUUUCUUUUCAAGAAAAAACUCCUGCAAUUUCCAAAUGCAUGGCCGCAGCCGCUGGCUGCAACGUCGACCCAAUGGUGCUUGUCUGGGCGAAGUACAAGGCCGUUGGGCUCGUCGCCGGGGAGUUCUGCAACCCACAUCAGUUUCUAUGACUAUAAUUUCUACUAUUGUACUCUUUGUAGUUUUUAAUGCAUAAAUUAAUCUAAUGUUGGGAGAUUUCCAAGGACUAACUAAGACAAUAAGAAUCGGAGAGGAGAGUUUCUCAACAGCAACAAAAUGAAUUAGAGGAGAGUCAACUAACCUUCCUUUCUUGCUUCGUCACCCCCUCAUGGGUUAUGAGCUAUGACGACCAUGACGCCGGCCGUGCGUCCGAGCGCCUGUGGUCUGUACAUCGACGACCUGCCCUUUUCUCAUUUUCUGGUCACCGAAGAGUUCAAUCGACCAGAAACAUGGAAGGGCGAGAGUACUCAUGUUCCUGCCCUGUGUGUGUUUUCUUUGCGCGAAAGUUCCUGUUUCAGUAACAGAGGUAGAACAAUCAGAAAAUGAGAAGGUCUUUCACUUCCUUACAGAAUGAAAUUUCUGUCUUGCAAGUUUACAAAGUCAUCAAGUUAAGCACUUACGAUAAAAUUAUCUGACUCAGAAAGCUGAUAUCACUCAUACAAAAAACAUGUUAUACAAUAUUGAGUUUUGACAUAGCUAUCAAAUCUGAACUGAACUUCACAGAAUUCAAAAGUUGUAUAGCUGACAAUGGGCCGUAGAUGAUAAUUUUUCUGAGAAUAUAUAUGCUAGUUAGGCAAUCCUAAGAAGAGCUGGUAAAUAUCAAGAGGCAUAUGCAUACAACUGUACUACCGUAAAAGGAAAUAGGGAAGAACUCACCCGAUCAGAGCCAAGAGAACAAUGAGAACAUCCAGCUUACAUGCAACACCAUCGGUGGUAAAACUGCUGCUGUCCCUAAACUGAAGAAAAUAUCAAAGAAAUUAAACCAUCAUUACCAAUGAGUGGAUUUGUAAGAAAACCAACAACAUGAAGAUCCUUGAUGUAUUAGUAAUUAAUAGGACUAGUCGUCAACCCGUGCAUCCGCACGGGCUAGUCUAUAUAGGUACUAAAACAUUUAUUUGAUAAACCAUAUUUAGAGAUAUAAAAUAUAAAAGUACUACAUUUACCCACUUGUUUUAUUGGAAACAUGCAAAUUUAUGGUUGCUUAUAUAGGAAAAGAAAAUUGUUUAUUUUUUCCAUGAUUAAUGCUAACAAAUACAAAUUCAGAUGUACACGAAAUCAUAAAAAGUGAUGUUGCAAUAACUUAAACACUUUUGAUGACAUCUCAUUUUUGGUGCAUUUACCUGAGUUUUUCCUUGCUUCUUUACUUCAAAAAUAAAGCAUGUGUGUAAAAACCUGAUAGAAUUGAUGCCAUAUGUAUCUUAUUUGUGAGCUUGAACGACUGAAAAUCUUGAAGAGAAUACAAACUUUGAAAAUUAUAGAAACUACAGGUAAUUAUUGUAUUUGUUAUUCAUAGAUCUCAUCUUCCAUUUAUGCCACUACCAAGAUCGGUUCUUCAUAUAUGAGCUUUGAGAUCCAAUUAUUCGUUACUUGGUGCCCUGCAUAAUGAGUAAGAAGGUACGUAGUCAAACGCGUCUCAGCUGACAUAUUAAAAUAAAAAAUGAUUUGUUUCUUAUGGCAGCUAAUGUGUGUGCCAUCUAGUAACAGGUCCAAAAAUAUAUCGUAAGAGGCCACACAAUGGCAGCAUCACCAGUUCCUUUGUUGUAGUUUAAAGGCAGCCUCAGAUUUCACUGUGGAAUAGGAAAACCACGUUCCUAAGAAAAUUAUCAGGUGAUUCCACAUGCAUAAGAAACGUUCUUCAUUAAUUUAUUCACCAUCCGAAACCCUACUGAAGCAGAGUUUUGUACAAAACAUCCAGUCAUCAAUUAUUCAAGAUGUACUAAGACAACUCAUUAUAAGUUUAUAACCAGCUGUCUAUGUACAAUUCUGAUCUCUAUGAAAAGUUCAAACAAUUAGUUUAAGAUUAGGCAGUAAGACUGCUGUUCAUUAACUAAAAUAUUCAGAGAUGGAUCUUCACAAAAGACAAUUAUUUUCGAUACCAAAUAUGAAAGUGUGAUCUCGGAAAAGAAUUUACUUUGUAACAGAAUAGUACCACACUAUUAGAAAAGGGCAAUGGGUAAAAAAAAAACAUGACAGAAGAAGUGCCAACCUACUGUUCUACCAGUACAACAAAGCCGUAAUACGGAAACUAAAAGGACACUUAAUUAGGAGCUCCUAGCUCAAGAAUAGCUAAUAGCAUCAUCCUCCCUUUUUCAAGCUAACCUAAUUAUACAUCAUCAUAACAAAUAUUUGAAAAGGGAAACAUUAUUAAAAUGACCAUAAAACAGCAUGAUAUAUGUCCAUAAAUACAAACUACAAAGAGCAGGUUAGUAAUAUAGCACACAAUAAUUUGAACUAACUCAAUCAUUGCAGGUCUGUACAUGCAAGCUUAACAUGAAAUACCAUAGCUUUUCUUGUGUGUGAGUUUCUCCUUCCAACACACAGAAAUUGCGAUAUACUUUGUUUGUAUUGGUCAUCAGAAUGAGAAUAUGAAUCUUUUGAAGUGAUUUUUCAUUGCAGUAAGGAUACUGUCAUAACAAUCUGAUGGCUUGUUAGAGUUUUGACGACAUACGAUUUCCUAGAUUUAAC